GGGUUGUGAGGUUAAGCGACUAAGCGUACACGGUGGAUGCCCUGGCAGUCAGAGGCGAUGAAGGACGUGCUAAUCUGCGAUAAGCGCCGGUAAGGUGAUAUGAACCGUUAUAACCGGCGAUUUCCGAAUGGGGAAACCCAGUGUGAUUUGUCACACUAUCAUUACGUGAAUACAUAGCGUAAUGAAGCGAACCGGGGGAACUGAAACAUCUAAGUACCCCGAGGAAAAGAAAUCAACCGAGAUUCCCCCAGUAGCGGCGAGCGAACGGGGAGGAGCCCAGAGCCUGAAUCAGCAUGUGUGUUAGUGGAAGCGUCUGGAAAGGCGCGCGAUACAGGGUGACAGCCCCGUACACAAAAGCGCAUGUGUUGUGAGCUCGAUGAGUAGGGCGGGACACGUGGUAUCCUGUCUGAAUAUGGGGGGACCAUCCUCCAAGGCUAAAUACUCCUGACUGACCGAUAGUGAACCAGUACCGUGAGGGAAAGGCGAAAAGAACCCCGGCGAGGGGAGUGAAAAAGAACCUGAAACCGUGUACGUACAAGCAGUGGGAGCCCCACCACUAAGCCAGUGGUGAACUCCACAUACGCAUCCUUUGCUGAGGAUACGGUUAACGGAGCGAAAGCGACGUUCAACCGCAAAAGAAGCAGAGGGGGCUUAGUGGUGGGGUGACUGCGUACCUUUUGUAUAAUGGGUCAGCGACUUAUAUUCUGUAGCAAGGUUAACCGAAUAGGGGAGCCG
rnacentral:rRNA from 1 species